rnacentral:rRNA from 1 species
UGGGGAAUAUUGCACAAUGGGCGAAAGCCUGAUGCAGCCAUGCCGCGUGUGUGAAGAAGGCUCUAGGGUUGUAAAGCACUUUCAGUAGGGAGGAAAUGUUAACGAUUAAUACUCGUUAGCUUUGACGUUACCUACAGAAGAAGCACCGGCAAACUCCGUGCCAGCAGCCGCGGUAAUACGGAGGGUGCGAGCGUUAAUCGGAAUUACUGGGCGUAAAGCGCGCGUAGGUGGUUUGAUAAGCUAGCUGUGAAAGCCCCGGGCUCAACCUGGGAACUGCAGUUAGAACUGUCUGACUAGAGUACAGUAGAGGGUGGCGGAAUUUCCUGUGUAGCGGUGAAAUGCGUAGAUAUAGGAAGGAACAUCAGUGGCGAAGGCGGCCACCUGGACUGAUACUGACACUGAGGUGCGAAGGCGUGGGGAGCAAACAGGAUUAGAUACCCUGGUAGUCCACGCCGUAAACGAUGUCUACUAGCCGUUGGGAGACUUGAUCUCUUAGUGGCGCAGUUAACGCGAUAAGUAGACCGCCUGGGGAGUACGGCCGCAAGGUUA